AACACGAUUAGUAAGCAAGUCUGUUAUAGAGCACAUGCAGGUUGACAACAACUGCCCUUUUACUCCCCUUGAAAAAAUGUGUGUACAACCCUCUGCAUAUCAUAAAUAUUCAGCAAUACAUACACAGCUGCAGUUGAUCUGUACAAACACAAUUUACACGGAAGGAAGUUUCCCAUGAUUUUCUUUGUAGAUGUAUGGUUCACAAUUCAGCAACAGCAAGCCAUCACUUAUAUAUGAUGCAUGAGUUGGAUGGCAUGCAUUCUGAACUCAGUACCAAUGUACACACAGGAAGUGAUCAGACCCUAUAGUACUAUGUGCGUUUGCUUGACUACAUUAUUUGCCUCCUCCUGGGUUGGUUUGUCCUGCCAUUAUGAAAAGGAAGUUUAGGUUAUUGUAGGAAAAAUAUCUAACAUGUGGCAUACACCAACUUGUAAUGUAAAAACUGAAUAUUUUUUGGAAUUGAUCAAGUUCUUUAGCAUGCCAUGCUAUAGGUAUAGAGGGAGAGCAGGUGUAGAGAGAGAAUUUUGAGCGAUGCAGACCUUGCAGCAGUGCAGUACGGGGUGGGCGAGGAGGCCAGCCUCCACGCGUCGGAACGAAGCAAGGUACAGUCCCUAUUGAUAUCGGUGUGUGACGUAACUGGUGAGGAGGAUAGAGGUACUGAUGCUAGCCGCCAUGACGGUGCAGAUGAGCAGAUGAACCCGGGUAGGGGAGGAGAUGGUGGUGGAGGAGCUCGUGGUUGUCUGCCCCAGUGGCACCUCAAGGCAGAGCUCGUUCCCUCGUGCCGCUGCUGCGUCAAUCGCUUGCUUGAUCCGAGAGAAAGGAGCACAGGGUGCAGGGUCGGCUCCAGGACAGACGGAUCCACCCUGGGGAGCUCGUGGUAGCCGGAUCCCAAUGGUGGCACUUGCUCCGAGAGAAACAAACGGUGGCUGCAAGAUUGGUUCCGGUACCUACGGAUCUGACGCUGGGAGCCCGUGGUGGCCGGAUCCCGACGGCGG
rnacentral:lncRNA from 1 species